rnacentral:rRNA from 1 species
AUUCCGGUUGAUCCUGCCGGAGGACAUUGCUAUUGGGAUUCGAUUUAGCCAUGCUAGUCGAGCGAGUUCAGACUCGCGGCGAAUAGCUCAGUAACACGUGGCCAAGCUCCCCUUCAGUCAGCGAUACCCUCGGGAAACUGAGGUUAACAGCUGAUACAAAACGCCAGCUGGAAUGCGGCGUUUCAGAAAGACAUCGCUGAAGGAUGCGGCUGCGGCCGAUUAGGUAGACGGUGGGGUAACGGCCCACCGUGCCAGUAAUCGGUACGGGUGAUGAGAGUCAGAGCCCGGAGACGGAAUCUGAGACAAGAUUCCGGGCCCUACGGGGCGCAGCAGGCGCGAAACCUUUACACUGCACGGAAGUGCGAUAGGGGAAUCCCAAGUGCGAGGGCAUAUUAGCCCUCGCUUUUCUCGACUGUAAGGUGGUCGACGAAUAAGAGCUGGGCAAGACCGGUGCCAGCCGCCGCGGUAAUACCGGCAGCUCAAGUGAUGUCCCAUAUUAUUGGGCCUAAAACGUCCGUAGCU